rnacentral:rRNA from 1 species
UACAGAGGUCCCAAGCGUUGUUCGGAUUCACUGGGCGUAAAGGGUGCGUAGGUGGCCAGGUAAGUUUGGUGUGAAAGCUCGGAGCUUAACUCCGAAAAGUCAUUGAAUACUAUCUGGCUGGAGGGUCGGAGGGGAGACUGGAAUUCUCGGUGUAGCAGUGAAAUGCGUAGAUAUCGAGAGGAACACCAGUGGCGAAGGCGAGUCCCUGGACAACACCUGACACUGAGGCACGAAAGCCGGGGGAGCAAACAGG